ensembl:lncRNA
CAAGGCUUUUAACUUCAACUAUCUUGUCCGAGAGACAAAAUCCCAGCAGUCGCCGCCCAUUUGGGUAUUCAGGUAAACAACUUCCUCCUGUGGAGUGCUUCGGCACACUGUAAGUGACGAUUCAGUUCUAACUAUGGGCAAGAUGUGGGUCAGCAAGCAAGGUGUUCCCAACUCCCAAAUAAAUGUGAAAAAAUAUUUUAUGUUUUUCGUCAGCCAGUAGAAAAAGCAACACAAGCACAGUUUCUAAUGUGUGAUUAGGAUAUGGAUGCUGUAUACUUCAAUGGUUUAUUGGUUUAAUAAUGAAGCCAGGUCAUCAGCAGAUUUCUGAGUCAUAUCUCUGGCAUCAAGUCUGUUUUGGACCUGGUCAUGCGCCAGUUUUUGGUUGAGAUAAGUUUUGGGAAUUAUACGUAAACAUUAACUUUUUCUUUUUUUUUUUACUUGCUGUUGCUUUCCACCAGUUGCAAUAAUGGAAGGCUGAAUUGUUUUAUUUAGGUUAUCAGUGCUGCUCACAGAUUUAUUGCUUUAUUUUGAAAAUAUGUGUUUUUAUUGCACUACCUUUGGAACUUAUGUUAUGAGGUGUUUGUGCUGAGAUGCUGUGUUACACUUUCUUGAAACAUGGAGCUGUGUGUUACAGUCAAACAUUUGCACUUUUGUCUCACCUGUUGAAAGGUUGUUGUUCCAGAAGACUUGUUCAGAUACAACUUUACAAACAUAUGCCGUGCUGCCAGGUUCUUCUUAAAGAGACACGAGUUUCCCCUGAAAGCCCCUCUAAACAUAAGGCCAGAUUAGGCUCUCAGCGAAGGCGGUCGCACUUUCUCCUCUCCUGCCCUUAUCUUCCCUGCUUAGCUUCUUAUGUCCUUGUCUUGUCUUGUGUUUUUACUUACUUUUCCCUGGAACACUCUCUCACAGUCUGUUCUCUAAAACCUAAAAGAGGAAUUAUGGAUUUGAUCAACUGGUCUCUGAAUGCAAUUGACACCCCUUCUCAACGAGAAGUCUGGGCUCGGGUGAGCCUGAGUGCUGAAGAUAUCUACCUAUUCGGAACCAUGAUAACAGGGUUCUUGCUGAUCGGAGCAGGCUUGGCCCUGGCUUACCGA